GACAUAUCUCAGUUCUGUGGAUCAAGGGGACAGCAUUGCCAUGGGGCAUUACUGGCACAUUAGGAAGCCAUCAUCAGAGCAACACUGCUGGUUACAGGUAUGACCAUCCAUCAGCAUUCUGCUCUCCUCUGCUGUUGGCUGCCCAAUAGACACAGCUGAGUUGGUUCAUCCAGUGAACUGGAAUGCCUACCAGCCCAUGGUGCUCACAUACAGGAUGAGUUUCAGACUCACCAGCCCAUGCCAGCGCUCACAAAUGGCUUAGAAAACACAAGGGCUUGCCUGGAAGAGCUCUGGCUGCCUGAAGCUGAAGGGGCCAAGAGAGCACGAGUUAUCCUUCACUACUGCCAGUGCCUCUGGAGCUUAUUUUUGCAUUCACUACAUUUUAUUUUUAAAGCUAGGAGAUAGCAGUGCUGAGGAUGCACACAUUUAAUUACUAGAUGCUGCAGCCAGAAAAGCUAUGUAAUUACACCAUUUGCACGCCAGUUA